UACGUAGGGGGGCUAGCGUUGUCCGGAUUUAUUGGGCGUAAAGGGUGCGUAGGCGGCGCGGUAAGUCGGGUGUGAAAUCUCGGAGCUUAACUCCGAAACUGCAUUCGAUACUGCCGUGCUUGAGGACUGGAGAGGAGACUGGAAUUUACGGUGUAGCGGUGAAAUGCGUAGAUAUCGUAAGGAAGACCAGUGGCGAAGGCGGGUCUCUGGGCCAUAACUGACGCUGAGAAGCGAAAGCAUGGGGAGCGAACAGG
rnacentral:rRNA from 1 species